GACGAACGCUGGCGGCAUGCCUAACACAUGCAAGUCGAACGAGACCUUCGGGUCUAGCGGCGCAAGGGUGCGUACCGCGUGGGAACCUGCACUUAGGUUCGGAGUAACUCACCGUGAGGGGUGCUAAUACCGGUUAAUGUCUUCGGACCAAUGAUUUUUCGCCUUUGGAUGGGGCCGCGUUGGAUUAUCUAGUUGGUAGGGUAAAAGCAUACCUAGGCGACGUUCCAUAGCUGGUCUGAGAGUAUGAUAAGCCAGACUGGGACUGAGACACGGCCCAGACUCGUACGGAAGGGAGCAGUGGGGAAUAUUGUAGGAUGAACGAAAGUCUGAUCCAGCAAUGCCGCGGGUGAGAGGAAGGCCUUAGUAUUGUAAAGCUCGUUGACCCGAGAUGAUAAUGACAGUACCGGGAGAAUAAGCACCGGCUAACUCCGUG
rnacentral:rRNA from 1 species